UACGUAGGGGGCUAGCGUUGUCCGGAAUCAUUGGGCGUAAAGCGCGUGUAGGCGGCCCGGUAAGUCCGCUGUGAAAGUCGGGGGCUCAACCCUCGAAUGCCGGUGGAUACUGUCGGGCUCGAGUACGGGAGAGGCGAGUGGAAUUCCUGGUGUAGCGGUGAAAUGCGCAGAUAUCAGGAAGAACACCCGUGGCUAAGGCGGCUCUCUAGUACGGUACUGACGCUGAGACGCGAAAGCGUGGGGAGCGAACAGG
rnacentral:rRNA from 1 species